CCUACGGGAGGCAGCAGUGGGGAAUAUUGCACAAUGGGGGAAACCCUGAUGCAGCGACGCCGCGUGAGCGAUGAAGUAUUUCGGUAUGUAAAGCUCUAUCAGCAGGGAAGAAAAUGACGGUACCUGACUAAGAAGCCCCGGCUAACUACGUGCCAGCAGCCGCGGUAAUACGUAGGGGGCAAGCGUUAUCCGGAUUUACUGGGUGUAAAGGGAGCGUAGACGGCUGUGCAAGCCAGAUGUGAAAGCCCGGGGCUCAACCCCGGGACUGCUCUUGGAACUGCGUGGCUGGAGUGCAGGAGGGGCAGGCGGAAUUCCUGGUGUAGCGGUGAAAUGCGUAGAUAUCAGGAGGAACACCGGUGGCGAAGGCGGCCUGCUGGACUGCAACUGACGUUGAGGCCCGAAAGCGUGGGGAGCAAACAGGAUUAGAUACCCUUGUAGUC
rnacentral:rRNA from 1 species